AAACCGAUUCUCAAUCUGGUAGGAGUUGUACAGGGAAAGGGGGCCUUCUGAGAAUACAACUCCUCAACCCCACUGAGCCAGAGGUUGACACACUUGGAUCUGAUUAAUACUUCCCCUGCCCCCAGAGUGUAUCUCCCAGCACGGGGCAUCUCUAUGUCCCCCAGAGGACUCCCUGCCUUUGGAAGAUCUUGGAAUCAUAGCACCAAGUUCCUUUGCCAUGCCCCAGAACACUUUCCCCUGCAUCCUCUACAGAAUGCCUGUGCAUGCUGCUUCCAACCCAUCACUGUCUAAAGGUCCCACAUGCCCUGAGUCUCACCAACACGGGGUAUAUGGUGCUUACUGCUAAUUGUCAACUUGGCACGAUCUUGAAUUACCUAAGAGACAUACUUUUGGGCAUAUCUGUGGUGGGAGUUUUCAGAUUCAGUUAACAGAGGUGGGAAGACCCACCCAGAAGACAUGGUGUCACCAGCUGCCUCACACUUGGGCUACCAUGGCUUCCCAACCUUGAUGGACUUCAAACUGGAGCCAGUGGGAACUCUUGUCGAGUAUGCUGUCACAACGGGUCAUUGCCAUACACCUCCUGUCUUAGCCUCUCUUGAAGGCUCUACGCAGCCUGAGCCCACAGCCGGGGCAGGCCAGGCUCAUCAGGGAGUAGCGCCUCUCCCAGUGACUGACACUCAGCCACUGUUGGGUGGACAAGGAAAACAAUCAUGCCAUCACAGUAAUUACCAUGUAUCGAGUCCUUCUGACAAGCCAAGAAUGAGCAGAAAUCUCCCUGGAUUUCACGUCAUGCUUUCAGCAAUCCCCUUUGUCAAUGACGGAUUAUCCUGUUCUACAGCUGAGCAUCAAGGGGCUGAGAGAGGCUGUGUCACUUGUCACAAGACUCAGAAAAACAGAAACAAAAACAAACAAGACAGAAUCAAGCCCCCUAGACUGUAUCAAAGGGGGCAGAAUGAAGAAAAGUUUUGUUGUUGUUUUUAAGCUCUGGGAUUGGAUUUUUGUGUUCCCAGAAGCCAGAAUUAAGAAAUGGCCAGUAAGGUUCACCACGAUGAAUCAUAGACUUCAGCCCAACUUCCUUUGACAGUGGGAGCUUUUAACCAAAUAAAGAGACAGAAACCCAACUCAAAC
rnacentral:lncRNA from 1 species